rnacentral:lncRNA from 1 species
CGUCCCGUCCGUCUGCUCGACGCAGUGAACCCCACCGGGUCACAGGUGCGUGUGGAGACAUGUGUGCCAUCAACACAAGGCACUUCAUGUACGGGAAACUGUGUGGAGCUCUGGGCACCCAGGCCGAGGAGGAGCCGCUACCCAGGUCAGAGGAGCCCACCACCCCCACCAGGCCAGCGUCCACCCCCCAAUGCCGGGGUCAGAGGGAGCCCCCAGGCCAGCGCCCACCCCCCCCAGUGCCGGGGUCAGAGGGAGCUUCCAGGCCAGCGCCCACCCCACAAUGCCAGAGUCAGAGGGAGUGCCCAGGCCAGCGUCCACCCCCCCCAAUGCCAGGGUCAGAGGGAGCCCCCAGGCCAGUGCCCACCCGCUCAGUGCCAGGGUCAGAGGGAGCCCCCAGGCCAGCGCCCACCCCCCCAGUGCCGGGUCAGAGGGAGCUUCCAGGCCAGCGCCCACCCCACAAUGCCAGAGUCAGAGGGAGUGCCCAGGCCAGCGUCCAACCCCCAAUGCCGGGGUCAGAGGGAGCCCCCAGGCCAGGGCCCACCCGCCCAGUGCCAGGGUCAGAGGGAGUGCCCAGGCCAGCGUCCAACCCCCAAUGCCGGGGUCAGAGGGAGCCCCCAGGCCAGAGUCCACCCCCCCAGUGCCGGAGUCAGAGGGAGUCCCCUGGCCAGUGCCCACACCCCUCAAUGGCCAGUCUUCGAGGGUGGCGCAAGGUGGGGACUCAGAGACCCAGGGUUCUGGGAGAGGAGCUGGGCCUGGCAGACGGCUCGCCCCAGCCCCUCAGCCGUCGGGUGGGAGGGGGGAGGAGCCACAUGAGCUGGCAGAGCUGCGGGGGGCCCCAAGGUCACCGCAGACACCACCCCUCAACGGUUCCCACUGUCUUCCUGGGCCGCUGCUGUCAAACCACCAAAUACCAUCAUCUUAGGAGCACAGCAAACACGUAUUUUAAUUUUCCCAAUAACGUGACCCCGCCUCGCCAACAGCAUCAGGUUUCAGGUAGUGUCACGUGUCUCCUGCAGCACAUCCACCUACCGAGACACCAGACGGCUCCGCUCGGCCAGCGGGGUUCUGGGGGGAGGGGCCUCCGUUUCACGGCUCUCUCUCCGGUGACCGCUAACCCACGGCCUCCAAGCGGAGCCGAGAUUCGAGUGACCGCUGUGCCCCGGCCCUCACGGGCACCUGGGGGGCCCCGCCUGGACCAGGGCUGCAUGGCGGCGAGAAGGCGAGUGUGCACACAUGACGCAGCACGUGGGAGCCUGUAUUUUGAGGGUGAGGCAGGGCAGGGGGCCAGGCUCUCCAGGCCCCCCGAGCUCUGGACAGAGUCGGUCUCUCUCCUUCUAGGUUUCCUUGCAGGGACUUUCCCCUCCUCCUCCCUUUAAAGGAAACCAGAAGAGCCUUGAAAAACAAGUUUUGCUGAAAUUCAAAACUGUCUUAGAGGUCCUGCUCCUGAACCCUGGAGCCUCGACAGCUGCCCCUAGAAAGACGCCCACUCGACAAGAGCUUGUCCCCCAGCCGAGGCCCCUCCCCCGGGCAGCCCUGGGAAGGGACAGACACCCCCAGGCCUUGGCUAUGGCCCGGACAAGCCCCCCCUAAGGCAGACGGGCCCUGCACCAGGAGGUCCCAGUGGGGACGGAGGGACCCGUGGGGCGGGGUGGGGGCUGACACGGCCUGAGGCCGAGGUCACGGGUGGGCGAGGCCAGAGGCAAGACUGGAAGCCUAGGCUCCUGCUGUGGCCCAGGCACUUUGCAAAUGCUCACUGGCCUGCCGCAGGCGGCGGCUUUGGCAGUGUGAACCGCCCCUCCACCAGGAGGGGGGCCGCGGGCAGCCCUGAGCCUCUGGGCUCACGAGGCCCGGCUCAGCCAGGGUCUCUGGUUACGGCAGAGAGCACGCGCCACCCCGGAGCAUCCGAACCCAGCGGUCAGGCCUUAAACACAAAGGCAAAGACUUUGAGUCAGUGCAGCACAGACACGGAUGUGGAAAAACGCCUCGC